rnacentral:rRNA from 1 species
GGGUGCGAUCAUACCAGCACUAAUGCACCAGAUCCCAUCAGAACUCCGAAGUUAAGCGUGCUUGGGCGAGAGUAGUACUAGGAUGGGUGACCUCCUGGGAAGUCAUCGUGUCGCCUACC